GUGGGGAAUUUUGGACAAUGGGCGAAAGCCUGAUCCAGCCAUUCCGCGUGAGUGAAGAAGGCCUUCGGGUUGUAAAGCUCUUUCGGCAGGGAAGAAAUCGCUAAGGGUAAUAUCCUUGGCGGAUGACGGUACCUGAAGAAGAAGCACCGGCUAACUACGUGCCAGCAGCCGCGGUAAUACGUAGGGUGCGAGCGUUAAUCGGAAUUACUGGGCGUAAAGCGUGCGCAGGCGGUUUUUUAAGCCAGAUGUGAAAGCCCCGGGCUCAACCUGGGAACUGCGUUUGGAACUGAAAGACUAGAGUGUGUCAGAGGGAGGUGGAAUUCCACGUGUAGCAGUGAAAUGCGUAGAUAUGUGGAGGAACACCGAUGGCGAAGGCAGCCUCCUGGGAUAACACUGACGCUCAUGCACGAAAGCGUGGGGAGCAAACAGGAUUAGAUACCCCGGUAGUCC
rnacentral:rRNA from 1 species